GGUCCGGUAGUUCAGUUGGUUAGAAUGCCUGCCUGUCACGCAGGAGGUCGCGGGUUCGAGUCCCGUCCGGGGCU
rnacentral:tRNA from 1 species